rnacentral:tRNA from 1 species
GGAGAGGUGCGAGAGCGGCUGAAUCGGGCGGUCUCGAAAACCGUUAGGGGCGUAAGCCCCUCGAGGGUUCGAAUCCCUCCCUCUCCGCCA